AUUGAACGCUGGCGGCAUGUCUUACACAUGCAAGUCGAACGGUAACAGGUCUUCGGAUGCUGACGAGUGGCGAACGGGUGAGUAAUACAUCGGAACGUGCCUAGUAGUGGGGGAUAACUACUCGAAAGAGUGGCUAAUACCGCAUGAGAUCUACGGAUGAAAGCAGGGGAUCGCGAGACCUUGUGCUACUAGAGCGGCCGAUGGCAGAUUAGGUAGUUGGUGGGAUAAAAGCUUACCAAGCCGACGAUCUGUAGCUGGUCUGAGAGGACGAUCAGCCACACUGGGACUGAGACACGGCCCAGACUCCUACGGGAGGCAGCAGUGGGGAAUUUUGGACAAUGGGCGCAAGCCUGAUCCAGCAAUGCCGCGUGCAGGAUGAAGGCCUUCGGGUUGUAAACUGCUUUUGUACGGAACGAAAAGCCCUGGGUUAAUACCCUGGGGUCAUGACGGUACCGUAAGAAUAAGCACCGGCUAACUACGUGCCAGCAGCCGCGGUAA
rnacentral:rRNA from 1 species